rnacentral:tRNA from 2 species
UCCUGACUGGUGCGUCAUGGCCCAGCUCCAGCCUUCCCGGACAAGGUUAUCCAGUGGCAUCGAUGGAGCAGGCUCGGCACCUACAGUUGCGGG